UACAAAAAAAUCUGGGUGACCCUUUCUCUCUCUAACCAAUUUCUUUUCCUCCUGGUUCCUCGAAUUUUCGUCUAACAAGUACCCAAAUUCGAUCUCGAAUACGCAUUUUCUCUCUACAAUCCAUCAAAUUGUUAUGAAAUUGUACGAUCUCUCACUCGAAUAUAUAAAUCGAUUUCAAAAUCGAAAGCUAGUUUGUAUAAUUUGGUGAAUUUGCUGCCAAUUUUCUCAAAUUCAAAGGUAGAGAAAUUCAACAACUUCCAGAAUCCUACAAGAGAACGAAGUAGAGGAGGUGCCUUUCUCGUUACUAAUGAUUUAUUUCUAGUGCUUACAAGGAACUGUUUGAGUUUAAUUCAUGUUACUAUGAAUGUUUUUAGUGUUAGUUUACUUUAGUGUGCAUGAUUGUAUUAAAAGUAAACUAAAAUUGGGCAAAAGUAUACUAUAUCUCUCUAAAAGUAAA